GGUUGCAGAUACCAUGCUCUCACCACGGUAAAUCCCGAGUACCUGACAACCUAAAGUAUGUCUACGCUGUUGUCCGAUCAGCUAGAAAUAACAACCUAAUUUCCUUCAAAUGGCUCACAUGCAACCUUAAAAAUUGGCACCAUGCAGUGGGAAGGAGGCAGAUGACUGCAUUGAGCUCCAAUGUCUGCUUUGAAAUGGUUUCUAUGACUGGAUGUCCCUCCUAAUGCUAUACACUUUACCAAAUUUACCAGAUGCUUUUUUUCAUGGCACCAGCACUGAUAAGGUUGCCAAAUAACUCACAAGACAAGGCCCUACGACAGAAUGAGGAUACAGUAUUGAGGCAGAUAAAGUUAACAUAAAGUUCACAGGCACAGGAGUGACUGUGUGGUAAGUAGCUUGCUUACCAACCACAUGGCUUUGGGUUCAGUCCCACUGUGUAGCACCUUUGGCAAGUGUCUUCUGCUAUAGCCUCCGGCCAACCAAAGCCUUAUGAGUGGAUUUGGUAGAUGUAAACUGAAAAAAGCCCAUCAUAUAUAUAUGUGUGUGUGUGUGUGUUUGUACCCCCACCAUCACUUAACGACCAAUGUUGGUGUAUUUACGUACCCGUAACCUAGCGGUUUGGCAAAAGAGACCAAUAGAAUAAGCACUAGGCUUACAAAGAAUAAGUCUUGGGGUCGAUUUGUUCAACUAAAGGUGGUGCUCCAGCAUGGCUGCAGUCAAAUGACUUAAACAAAUAUAUGAAUAAAAGAACAUCAAAAUGGCAUCUAUGGAAUGAAAGCACAAUAUGUUUUGUGGUUUCAUAGAACUAAAUCGACAAUUACAGUUCAACAAAAUUUUGAGGGUCUAUUAAUUCUUCAUCAGUA